CAACCCAGACCACCAUCUAAGGUCCCUAAGCGCGUGCUAAGUGGGAAAGGAUGUGGAGUUGCAUAGACAACCAGGAGGUUGGCUUAGAAGCAGCCACCCUUGAAAGAGUGCGUAAUAGCUCACUGGUCAAGUGAUUCCGCGCCGACAAUGUAACGGGGCUCAAGCACGCCACCGAAGUUGUGGCAUUUAUAUUAUAGGCAGGCCUUCGUGGUCCAGCCGUAUGGAUGGGUAGGAGAGCGUCGUGUGGCCAGCGAAGCGGCGGUGUGAACCAGCCGUGGAGGCCACACGAGUGAGAAUGCAGGCAUGAGUAGCGAAAGACGGGUGAGAAACCCGUCCUCCGAAAGACCAAGGGUUCCAGGGCCAGGCUAAUCCGCCCUGGGUAAGUCGGGACCUAAGGCGAGGCCGACAGGCGUAGUCGAUGGACAACGGGUUGAUAUUCCCGUACCGAUGAAGAACCGCCCAAGACAAUCCAGUAAUGCUAAGUGUCUGAAUCCUUGAUUCGAUCCCUUCGGGGUGACGGUCUUGGCCUAGCACACGACCCUACGCUGGGGCGUUUAGCGUAUUAACAGGUGUGACGCAGGAAGGUAGCUGAGCCGGGCGAUGGUUGUCCCGGUCUAAGGAUGUAGGGCAGAAGAUAGGCAAAUCCGUCUUCUAUGUAGCCUGAGACCCGAUGGGUAGUCCU
rnacentral:rRNA from 1 species